GAUGAACGCUGGCGGCGUGCCUAAUACAUGCAAGUCGAGCGAACAGACGAGGAGUUUGCUCUUCUGACGUUAGCGGCGGACGGGUGAGUAAUACGUGGAUAACCUAUCUAUAAGACUUGGAUAACUUCGGGAAACCGGAGCACAUAACAGAUCAUAUCUUGAACCGCAGGGUUCAAUAGAGAAAGACGGUUUUGGUGUGAGCUAUCGAUGUAUCCGCGUCGCAUUAGCUAGUUGGCAAGGUAACGGCUUACCAAGGCAACGAUGCGUAGGCGACCUGAGAGGGUGAUCGGCCACACUGGAACUGAGACACGGUCCGGACUCCUACGGGAGGCAGCAGUAGGCAAUCUUCCGCAAUGGGCGAAAGCCUGACGGAGCAACGCGGCGUGAGUGAUGACGGUCUUCGGAUCGUGAAACUCUGUUAUUAGGGAAGAACAAAUGGGUAAGUAAAUGUGCACGUCGUGACGGUACCGAAACAGGAAGCCACGGCUAACUACGUG
rnacentral:rRNA from 1 species